UACGGAGGGGGUUAGCGUUGUUCGGAAUUACUGGGCGUAAAGCGCGCGUAGGCGGAUUAGGAAGUUGGGGGUGAAAUCCCGGGGCUCAACCUCGGAACUGCCUCCAAAACUGCUAGUCUAGAGUUCGAGAGAGGUGAGUGGAAUUCCGAGUGUAGAGGUGAAAUUCGUAGAUAUUCGGAGGAACACCAGUGGCGAAGGCGGCUCACUGGCUCGAUACUGACGCUGAGGUGCGAAAGUGUGGGGAGCAAACAGG
rnacentral:rRNA from 1 species